AGAGAGCGGCGUACGGGUGCGUAACACGUGUGCAACCUACCUUUAUCUGGGGGAUAGCCUUUCGAAAGGAAGAUUAAUACCCCAUAAUAUAUUGAAUGGCAUCAUUUAAUAUUGAAAACUCCGGUGGAUAGAGAUGGGCACGCGCAAGAUUAGAUAGUUGGUGAGGUAACGGCUCACCAAGUCUGUGAUCUUUAGGGGUCCUGAGAGGGAGAUCCCCCACACUGGUACUGAGACACGGACCAGACUCCUACGGGAGGCAGCAGUGAGGAAUAUUGGACAAUGGGUGAAAGCCUGAUCCAGCCAUCCCGCGUGAAGGAUGACGGUCCUAUGGAUUGUAAACUUCUUUUGUACAGGAAUAAACCAUUCUACGUGUAGGAUGCUGAAGGUACUGUACGAAUAAGCACCGGCUAACUCCGUGCCAGCAGCCGCGGUAAUACGGAGGGUGCAAGCGUUAUCCGGAUUUAUUGGGUUUAAAGGGUCCGUAGGCGGACCCGUAAGUCAGUGGUGAAAUCUCAUAGCUCAACUAUGAA
rnacentral:rRNA from 1 species